rnacentral:rRNA from 1 species
AUUGAACGCUGGCGGCAGGCCUAACACAUGCAAGUCGAGCGAGCGGAGGACGGGUGAGUAAUGGCUGGGAAACUGCCUGAUGGAGGGGGAUAACUACUGGAAACGGUAGCUAAUACCGCAUACCAUCAGAUGUGCCCAGAUGGGAUUAGCUAGUAGGUGGGGUAACGGCUCACCUAGGCGACGAGACCUAGCUGGUCUGAGAGGAUGAUAGGCCACACGGGAACUGAGACACGGGCCAGACUCCUACGGUAGUCAGCAGUGGGGAAUAUUUCACAAGGGGCGCAAGCCUGAUGCAGCCAUGCCGCGUGUGUGAAGAGGGCCUUCGGGUUGUAACGCACUUUCAGCGGGGAGGCGUUACCCGCAUAAGAAGCACCGGCUAACUCCGUGCCAGCAGCCGCGGUAAUAC